GCCGCUGUAGCUCAGUUGGUAGAGCAACGCAUUCGUAAUGCGUGGGUCGUAGGUUCGAGUCCUAUCAGCGGCA
rnacentral:tRNA from 1 species